CUUCCGGGCCACCGAGGGGAGGGACGGGGGAAGGACCAAAGGAAGGCGCCCGGGAGAGCCAGCCUCCAAGGGGCAGAGGGCCGGGAAGCCAGCAGGAGGAAGGAGGAGGACAGAUACAUCUGGACGAUCCCAAAAUCCCUUGUGAACAUUGAAAUGGCACCUACAUAUCCUUUCACCUCUAGCUUCUGGAAUAUUGCUGAGAAGCUUUAAAAAGGGAUUUUGGCAAGUCCUUUUUAAAAAAUGAUUUGGGAAGGACCUGUCAAGAUGUGAUAAAAUCAACGCAUUUUCAAUUCUGAUGUAAGAUCUGAAAAACUUGUUUCAAAGAUCCAUGAUGUCAAACAUUCCACAGUGUAUCACCAUUUUCCAUGAUGUACAUGGAAAGUUUGUAUACCAGAAAGAAGGGCUUAUCUAACAUUUUUCUUGGUGUCCUAACUUCCUAUGUGGAGUUCCCCCUGGCCAAAUUGCAGAUGCCAGAACCUGCACUCUGAAAUCAAACAAUCUGGGGAGGACAACUUGCCCAUCAGAUCUUUCUGAAAAGAUAGUUUGACUUAAGGAUAAGAAUGGAAAAGCUGAUGUCACUUCUUGGAAAUAACCUGUCAGUUGGAUUUUAGCGUCUUCAUUUCCUGGUCUAGUUCAUUGUCAUACUCUUUUAAACUUAAGGCACUGAUAUUAUUCAUUUCCUAUUGUUUUCUGGAGUUUAGGAGAAGUAACUCUACAUGAUGAUGACAACAUUUAUCUGACAACAAAUAAUUGAAACAGCUCUGCCUGUCUGGCUACUUUCGUCUCCACCUCAUGGCCCAUCUCCUAACCAUGUUUAUUCAGAAUUUUUCCACCAGUUACAGUAGGAUUUACUUUCAAGAAUAGCAAUUAAAAGUGUACUGUGCUGUGGCAUACAAAAUUUGGGCUUUUCUGCAUUGAUGAAAACAAACCAAGUAACUGGCCCAUUUGACUACAAAUACUAAGUAUG